CUCAGUUCGGAUUGGAGUCUGCAACCCGACUCCAUGAAGCUGGAUUCGCUAGUAAUCGCGCAUCAGCCACGGCGCGGUGAAUACGUUCCCGGGCCUUGUACACACCGCCCGUCAAGCCAUGGAAGCCGGGGGGUGCCUGAAGUGCGCUGCCGCAAGGAGCGCCCUAGGGUAAAACCGGUGACUGGGGCUAAGUCGUAACAAGGUAUC
rnacentral:rRNA from 1 species